UAUUUAUAAUUUUUUUCAUAAAUAAUUCGUAAAAACAGAUCAAAAAUCAUUAUAUAACUGUCAGUUUUUAUUACUGAGUAGUAUGACAUUGAAAUUCAUAGGCCUCGACCAUUUUUGGAUAUUUUGGAAAAUGAAUUAUUUAAAGAAAAAGUUGUUUUUUGGAAUAUCUAGAUGUAUACGUUUUUAUUAAAAGUUUUUUAUAAAUUUUUUCUGAAAAAACAACAAAAUUAUUAUGUUUAUUUGUUUCUAUUGCUGAGUAGUAAAUACGAAUCAUAUUUUUUGUUAAUAAAAGAAUUUUGUUUUAAGUUUGAUUCAGAAUUACAAUAACCAAGUUAGUUUUUCCAUCCAUCAUGGCAAAAUACGAGGACUCGUCAAAUUACUUUAAUCAUCCAUGGGAUCCAAUGACUUUGAGGCAUACGUAAACAUAGUUGCAUUUCAACAAGGUGCAACGCUUUUACUGGGACUUCCUUGAUAGUAAAAACUAUUUGACUGUCUCCGAAGCCGAUGAGUUACUCCAAGCGAGCAAACUUCGGAUUAAUAUGUAGAAUGAUGAUAUCAAAGACAAUAGAAAUCGUUAGAUUUCUAUUUAAGAGUGAUAUGUAGAUUUCUAUUCAUAUUUGAUAGUCGUCUAUUAGUGUACGGUUGACUGAAGUAGUUUCUUAAUAAGUUUUUAAAUCUUUUAAGUAUACAUAUUGUCAUUAUAACUUUAAUGUCUCAUUUAUUCCUUUUUUUUUAACUUAAUUAGUGUAACUAGAAACCAUUAGAUGUCUGUCACUUCUAGUUAUGUCUUGAGAAAAAAAAAGUAAUUAUGUAAAAUUAUUCUAAAAAUUUAGGAAAAUCUAAAAUAAAUCUAUUAAGUUUAUGAAAAUUUUUACUCUUAAUAAAUGCAAUAUUUCGUUAAUUAAU